GGAAGCAGGGAUCGUAAGACCUUGUGCUUUUGGAGUGGCCGAUGCCUGAUUAGCUAGUUGGUAGGGUAAUGGCCUACCAAGGCGACGAUCAGUAGUUGGUCUGAGAGGACGACCAGCCACACUGGGACUGAGACACGGCCCAGACUCCUACGGGAGGCAGCAGUGGGGAAUUUUGGACAAUGGGCGCAAGCCUGAUCCAGCAAUGCCGCGUGAGUGAAGAAGGCCUUCGGGUUGUAAAGCUCUUUCAGUUGAGAAGAAAAGGUUGUGACUAAUAAUCACAACUCAUGACGGUAUCGACAGAAGAAGCACCGGCUAACUACGUGCCAGCAGCCGCGGUAAUACGUAGGGUGCGAGCGUUAAUCGGAAUUACUGGGCGUAGAGGGUGCGCAGGCGGCUUUGUAAGUCAGAUGUGAAAUCCCCGGGCUUAACCUGGGAAUUGCGUUUGAAACUACAAAGCUAGA
rnacentral:rRNA from 1 species